rnacentral:rRNA from 1 species
AGUGAACGCUGGCGGUAGGCCUAACACAUGCAAGUCGAACGGCAGCACAGUAAGAGCUUGCUCUUACGGGUGGCGAGUGGCGGACGGGUGAGGAAUACAUCGGAAUCUACUUUUUCGUGGGGGAUAACGUAGGGAAACUUACGCUAAUACCGCAUACGACCUACGGGUGAAAGCAGGGGAGCUUCGGACCUUGCGCGAUUGAAUGAGCCGAUGUCGGAUUAGCUAGUUGGCGGGGUAAAGGCCCACCAAGGCGACGAUCCGUAGCUGGUCUGAGAGGAUGAUCAGCCACACUGGAACUGAGACACGGUCCAGACUCCUACGGGAGGCAGCAGUGGGGACUAUUGGACAAUGGGCGCAAGCCUGAUCCAGCCAUACCGCGUGGGUGAAGAAGGCCUUCGGGUUGUAAAGCACUUUUGUUGGGAAAGAAAAGCAGCAGGUUAAUACCCCGCUGUUCUGACGGUACCCAAAGAAUAAGCACCGGCUAACUUCGUG